CUGUCCUGCUAAAUAGUGUCCGCUUCUCUUUUGAGCGGACAAUUCUUCUUAGAGGGACUGGCGACUCUUAGUCGCACGAGAUUGAGCAAUAACAGGUCUGUGAUGCCCUUAGAUGUUCUGGGCCGCACACGCGCUACACUGAAUAGAUCAGCGUGUUCUCCCUUUCCGAGAGGAACGGGUAAACCGCUGAACCCUAUUCGUGGUAGGGAUCGGGGCUUGCAAUUAUUCCCCGUGAACCAGGAAUUCCCAGUAGGCGCAAGUCAUAAGCUUGCGUCGAUUACGUCCCUGCCCUUUGUACACACCGCCCGUCGCUACUACCGAUUGAACGUUUUAGUGAGGUCCUCGGACUGUUUGCCUGGCGGAUUACUCUGCCUGGCUGGCGGGAAGACGACCAAACUGUAGCGUUUAGAGGAAGUAAAAGUCGUAACAAGGUAUCCGUAGGUGAA
rnacentral:rRNA from 1 species